rnacentral:rRNA from 1 species
AUUGAACGCUGGCGGCAGGCCUAACACAUGCAAGUCGAACGAGUGGCGGACGGGUGAGUAAUGUCUGGGACACUUCCUGAUGGAGGGGGAUAACUACUGGAAACGGUAGCUAAUACCGCCUACCAUCGGAUGUGCCCAGGUGGGAUUAGCGAGUGGGUGGGGUAAAGGCUUACCUAGGCGACGAUCCCUAGCUGGUCUGAGAGGAUGACCAGCCACACUGGAACUGAGACACGGUCCAGACUCCUACGGGAGGCAGCAGUGGGGAAUAUUGGACAAUGGGCGAAAGCCUGAUGCAGCCAUGCCGCGUGUAUGAAGAAGGCCUUCGGGUUGUAAAGUACUUUCAGCGGGGAGGCGUUACCAGCAGAAGAAGCACCGGCUAACUCCGUGCCAGCCGCCGCGGUAAUAC